rnacentral:rRNA from 1 species
AUUGAACGCUGGCGGCAUGCCUUACACAUGCAAGUCGAACGGUAACAGGUUAAGCUGACGAGUGGCGAACGGGUGAGUAAUACAUCGGAACGUGCCCAGUAGUGGGUGAUAGCCCGGCGAAAGCCGGAUUAAUACCGCAUACGACCUAAGUGUGAAAGGGGGGGAUCGCAAGACCUCUCGCUAUUGGAGCGGCCGAUGUCAGAUUAGCUAGUUGGUGGGGUAAAAGCUCACCAAGGCGACGAUCUGUAGCUGGUCUGAGAGGACGACCAGCCACACUGGGACUGAGACACGGCCCAGACUCCUACGGGAGGCAGCAGUGGGGAAUUUUGGACAAUGGGCGCAAGCCUGAUCCAGCCAUGCCGCGUGCGGGAAGAAGGCCUUCGGGUUGUAAACCGCUUUUGUCAGGGAAGAAAUCCUUUGGGUUAAUACCUCGGGGGGAUGACGGUACCUGAAGAAUAAGCACCGGCUAACUACGUG